rnacentral:rRNA from 1 species
GCAGUCGAGGGGUAACAUGAGAGCUUGCUCUUGAUGACGACCGGCGCACGGGUGCGUAACGCGUAUGCAACCUACCCACAACUGGAGCAUAGCCCGGAGAAAUUCGGAUUAAUACUCCAUAAUGCAGGGGUACCUCCUGGUACUAUUUGCUAAAGAUUUAUCGGUUGUGGAUGGGCAUGCGUCUGAUUAGUUUGUUGGUGAGGUAACGGCUCACCAAGACCACGAUCAGUAGGGGGUCUGAGAGGAUGAUCCCCCACACUGGCACUGAGAUACGGGCCAGACUCCUACGGGAGGCAGCAGUAGGGAAUAUUGGGCAAUGGGCGAAAGCCUGACCCAGCCAUGCCGCGUGAAGGAUGAAGGCCUUCUGGGUUGUAAACUUCUUUUAUAUAGGAAGAAAAAGGUCAUGCGUGACCAAUUGACGGUACUAUAUGAAUAAGCACCGGCUAACUCCGUGCCAGCAGCCGCGGUAAUACGGAGGGUGCAAGCGUUGUCCGGAUUUAUUGGGUUUAAAGGGUGCGUAGGCGGUCCGUUAAGUCAGUGGUGAAAUCCAGCAGCUCAACUGCUGAACUGCCAUUGAUACUGGCGGACUUGAGUACGGACGAGGUAGGCGGAAUUUAUGGUGUAGCGGUGAAAUGCAUAGAUACCAUAAAGAACACCGAUAGCGAAGGCAGCUUACUAGACCGUAACUGACGCUCAGGCACGAAAGCGUGGGGAGCGAACAGGAUUAGAUACC